GAUAAAAAUACGUGGCAAUUUUUGAUUGGUCAAAAAAAAGUCCAAACAAAGCCAAAGAGCUAAAAACAUACCCCAAACUCACACCGUGAUUAACAAAUCCUCAAACACAUAACCCUGUACACAAAACAGACACAGAUGUGCCGCCACUGCAACUUCCACAGUUGCGUCCCACCACAAAUCACCACCACCACCACCUCCUCGAUCGGAAAAAUGAGAAAAGCCGCCGCCACCAUCACCAUCGUUGGAAAGCCAUCGCCGACGUUGUCCAUAGAUGUUGUGUGAUUUGGGUUCUAAAGAUUCCGGUGCAUCCACCUCCGAUUUCUCUUCUGAUUGCAAAUAAGUGAAAUAACCCGGCAAAAGAACUGCAUUGUUUCUCGAUUAUGAUGGAACUAUGGAACGCUAUAACCGAUUGUGGGUAAUCCAAAUCAACUUUCCCCUCACAUGGAUGGGGAAAAUGGUCCCGUUACAGAGUUUUUGCUAAACAUCAAUUAGAGUUUAAACAUGCUUAUAUCCGGUACGGUCGACUUGUUUGCAGAGGAGGCUAAACAUGCUUAUGGAGAUAUAUCGCUGUUCAUUUGUCCUGAAACAGGUUACUUCUUAAAGCUAAUCGUUAGAGUUAAAAAACGGAAGGAAAAAAAAAACAGGUUUUCUAGUUUUAUGCCUCAUGAUCCCUCUAAAUUGCAGCCUGUUAGUGUGGUUGGUGCUAUCACACCCUGGGGAGUUAUUACAUGAAUAUCAUUAUUGAAUUUGUGGGUAUUUUCAAGAGUGUAAUAUUUGUUUUGGCAAAAUGGAUGAGAGUUUUGGAGUUAAGAAUUCGUUCAAUUGUAAUGUAAAUAAUAGACAUUGUCUUCAUUGUGGGAAUUUGUUUGUCUU